rnacentral:rRNA from 1 species
UGGGGAAUAUUGCACAAUGGGGGAAACCCUGAUGCAGCGACGCCGCGUGAGUGAAGAAGUAUUUCGGUAUGUAAAGCUCUAUCAGCAGGGAAGAUAAUGACGGUACCUGACUAAGAAGCCCCGGCUAACUACGUGCCAGCAGCCGCGGUAAUACGUAGGGGGCAAGCGUUAUCCGGAUUUACUGGGUGUAAAGGGAGCGUAGGUGGUUCGGUAAGUCAGAUGUGAAAGCCCGGGGCUCAACCCCGGGAUUGCAUUUGAAACUAUCGGACUAGAGUGCAGGAGAGGUAAGUGGAAUUCCUAGUGUAGCGGUGAAAUGCGUAGAUAUUAGGAGGAACACCAGUGGCGAAGGCGGCUUACUGGACUGUAACUGACACUGAGGCUCGAAAGCGUGGGGAGCAAACAG